AAGGCACGUGUAAAUGAUUGGAAUGCAAACAUUCAAAUUCAAAAUGGAAGAAAGUGCCUCAUCUCUUACUCAUCUUUGUUUCCGUUUCUCCCCCGCCGUGCCGGAGGCUGUCUCCGACGGCUGAGGCGCCUCUCCACUUGAAUAAAUAACAUCAAACAAACCGAAAUCAUGCGAGGAGUCUGAAUCCACCAAUGAUUUUUUCUAAUUCCUUAUAAACUAUUCGAAUCGAAACAAAAGUUGACGAACCUUAAACACCUAAUUCUUGAAAUCAGGUGCUCCAAUGGAGUAAUCAAAGUCCCCAUCGUUAGGGUUUUGAUCCUUAUUCCCGAAAACUGCACCAUGGUAUUGAUAACGAUGGAGAACAGAGAGUGAAAGAGAACGUACCGAGGAAUUCUUGAAUUUGUGAAUUCUUCCUUCCUCCACAUUCUUCCUUCUUCCGCAGGAAUGGAAUUCUGCCUGUGUGUGAGUGAUUUGAAGAGAACCUACAUGUGGAAAGAGUGAGGACUGAAGGUGUGAUGAGUGUGAGAAUCUGAGUCUUUUUGUGCUUCCUUGCAUGUAGAGUGAAAAAAUGAAUAAUGAAGAUGGUGGAGGUUUAUCUGAAUAUAUAGGAAAGGGUUAAAGAUUGGUGAAAUGUUGAAUUCUGGACAUUGUCGCGGGUUCUCGGGUUAGAGUGAAAUGGUGGUUCAAGAGGGCCAAUGAUGCAUCAUCUUCGACACUAGCAACAAAGUAAAGUUGCGUUGUCUGUUGUCCAAAAAUAACUCCGAGGUAUUCAUCCUUGUUAAGAAGUUUUGAAACAUCAACCUGUUUUGCCUAGACUUGAUACUCUUAGCCUUCACGCUCUCAACCGGAACUUUCUUUGCAGCAACAACUUUCUUCCCUGGUGUUGUCUUUACAGAUCUCUUAGCAACCUUCGUCGGCUUCACCUUAGACUUUGGCUUCACACCUGCCUUGGGCUUGACAACAACUUUUUCCUUGGCAACAAUAGGCUUAGUCUUAGCCGUGACAGUUCUGGGCUUGAUAGUGGGUUUUUUGUGGGCUUCGCAGCUACCACUUUGACCUUGCAGCGACCUUUGGUUUGGUAACAGCUUUGGCUUUAGGCUUUAGGCUUAGCAACUGAUUUUGCCUAAACAUGGCCUUGGCAACUGUCUUUGUCUAUUGCAGAAUUCAUAUGCCAAUGUUGCAAGAUGGACUAUGGCGGCGAUACUCAAUGUAUGAUGGAUUAGCAGACCGGUUGGUUUGUUGGCUUGGUAUUGUUACUUACGCAUGUCAUUUGAAUGGUUGAUCCAUGUUGUAAUAUGGUUUGGAUUGGUAAUGAAUUGGUUUUAUAUGAUUUUAAUGGA